AACUGCCUGAUGGACGGGGAUAACUACUGGAAGCGGAUACUAAUACCGCACAACGUCACAAGACCAGAGAGGGGGACCUUCGGGCCUCUUGCCAUCGGAUGUGCCCAAAUAGGAUUAUCUAGUAGGUGGGGUAACGGCUCGCCUAGGCCACGAUCCCUACCUGGACUGAGAGGAUGACCACCCACACUGGAACUGAGACACGACCCCUACUCCUACGGGAGGCGGCAAAGGGGAAUAUUGGACAAUGGGCGCGAUCCUGAUGCGCCCAUGCCGCGUGUAUGAACAAAGGCUUCGGGUUGUAUAGUACUUUCAGCGGGGAGGAAGGCGAUAAGGCUAAUAACCUUGGCAAUUGACGCUACCCGCAAAAAAAGCACCGGUUAACUCCGUGCCAGCAGCCGCGGCAAUACGGAGGGUGCAAGCGUUAAUCGGAAUUACUGGGCGUAAAGCGCACGCACGCGGUCUGUCAAGUCGGAUGUGACAUCCCCGGGCUCGACCUGGGAACUGCAUUCUAAACUGGUAGGCUGUAGUCUUGGAUAGGGGGGUACAAUUCCAGGUGUAGCGGUGAGAUGCGUACAGAUCUGGAGGAAUACCGGUGGCGAAGGCUCUCCCCUGGACCUGACUGACGCUCGC
rnacentral:rRNA from 1 species